CAAAAUAUAGCUUAAAUAAAGCAUCUCGCUUACACCGAGAAAACAUCUGUUAAACUCAGAUUAUUUUGA
rnacentral:tRNA from 1 species